rnacentral:rRNA from 1 species
GUGCUUGCUCCGGACCUAGCGGCGGACGGGUGAGUAAUGCUUAGGAAUCUGCCUAUUAGUGGGGGACAACAUNCNCNAANGGGAUGCUAAUACCGCAUACGUCCUACGGGAGAAAGCAGGGGAUCUUCGGACCUUGCGCUAAUAGAUGAGCCUAAGUCGGAUUAGCUAGUUGGUGGGGUAAAGGCCUACCAAGGCGACGAUCUGUAGCGGGUCUGAGAGGAUGAUCCGCCACACUGGGACUGAGACACGGCCCAGACUCCUACGGGAGGCAGCAGUGGUCUA